AACGAACGCUGGCGGCAUGCCUAACACAUGCAAGUCGAACGAAGCCUUCGGGCUUAGUGGCGCACGGGUGCGUAACGCGUGGGAAUCUGCCCUUGGGUUCGGAAUAACAGUUAGAAAUGACUGCUAAUACCGAAUGAUGUCUUCGGACCAAAGAUUUAUCGCCCAAGGAUGAGCCCGCGUCGGAUUAGCUAGUUGGUGAGGUAAAGGCUCACCAAGGCGACGAUCCGUAGCUGGUCUGAGAGGAUGAUCAGCCACACUGGGACUGAGACACGGCCCAGACUCCUACGGGAGGCAGCAGUGGGGAAUAUUGGACAAUGGGCGAAAGCCUGAUCCAGCAAUGCCGCGUGAGUGAUGAAGGCCUUAGGGUUGUAAAGCUCUUUUACCCGGGAUGAUAAUGACAGUACCGGGAGAAUAAGACCCCGGCUAACUCCGUGCCAGCAGCCGCGGUAA
rnacentral:rRNA from 1 species